rnacentral:lncRNA from 1 species
AAUGACAUCAGACUGGGCUUGUGCCUGAUAAUUCAUUUCUGAAGGUGCAAUAUUAAGUGUCACAGUGUCCAGCUGGUGAUAUUUUCAGCAUAGAAACCUGUUAGACACGGCAGCAUUAAGGAGAUGGAAUGAAUUGAUUUAUUUCUCUUCUGAAUUGCUUGGCAGUGCUUCAAGAUUGACGCAUCAGAUUUGCACAAUGUGCCACUUUAGGAGAUUAUUUCUUCCUUCCUUCAGCCAGACAGAAGACUGCAGUAGGGAUAUGGUUCCUGUUUGCCUAUUUCCAUCCACAACUCUGCCAGAGACGAAAGCAGUGUUUGAAACAAUUCACCAAGAUUUCCAUCUGGAAUCAUCAAGAAUGGAAUUGAUCAAAUUCCUUAAGAAAUUUACUUAAAGUCAUGAUUUUGACAGCCUAGUGCUACCUGGAAAAGGGACAGCAGCAGCCUGGAGCAGUUUUCUAGCUAACAAGAAUUUUGUUAGCUAUGUGGCCACCUAGUGGCUCUUCCAUGGAUGUCGCUGAUGCAUUGUCAGGUACACAGACAAUUGCCCACUAAUAAAGAAGUUAUUAUCUUUCUUGGAA